rnacentral:rRNA from 1 species
AGAGUUUGAUCCUGGCUCAGAUUGAACGCUGGCGGUAUGCUUUACACAUGCAAGUCGAACGGGCUUUGGGGCUUGCUCCAAAGUUAGUGGCGAACGGGUGAGUAACAUAUCGGAACAUGUCCGGAAGUGGGGGAUAACGUAGCGAAAGUUACGCUAAUACCGCAUAUGCCCUGAGGGGGAAAGGGGGGGAUCGCAAGACCUCUCGCUUUCGGAGUGGCCGAUAUCAGAUUAGCUAGUUGGUGAGGUAAAGGCUCACCAAGGCGACGAUCUGUAGCUGGUCUGAGAGGACGACCAGCCACACUGGAACUGAGACACGGUCCAGACUCCUACGGGAGGCAGCAGUGGGGAAUUUUGGACAAUGGGGGCAACCCUGAUCCAGCCAUACCGCGUGAGUGAAGAAGGCCUUCGGGUUGUAAAGCUCUUUCGGCAGGAAAGAAAUCGUGCAGAUUAAUACUCUGUAUGGANGACGGUACCUGAAGAAGAAGCAC